rnacentral:rRNA from 1 species
GCCCUUACCGCGAGCUAUACAUGCAAGUCGAGCGGAGUUUUGAAAGCUUGCUUUUCAAAACUUAGCGGCGGACGGGUGAGUAACACGUGGGCAACCUGCCCUUGAGACGGGGAUAACUCCGGGAAACCGGAGCUAAUACCGGAUAACACAUAUCUUCGCAUGAGGAUAUGUUAGAAGGUGGCUUUUAGCUACCACUCAAGGAUGGGCCCGCGGCGCAUUAGCUAGUUGGUGAGGUAACGGCUCACCAAGGCGACGAUGCGUAGCCGACCUGAGAGGGUGAUCGGCCACACUGGGACUGAGACACGGCCCAGACUCCUACGGGAGGCAGCAGUAGGGAAUCUUCCGCAAUGGACGAAAGUCUGACGGAGCAACGCCGCGUGAGUGAUGAAGGUUUUCGGAUCGUAAAGCUCUGUUGUUAGGGAAGAACAAGUAUCUGUUGAAUAAGCAGGUACCUUGACGGUACCUAACCAGAAAGCCACGGCUAACUACGUGCCAGCAGCCGCGGUAAUACGUAGGUGGCAAGCGUUGUCCGGAAUUAUUGGGCGUAAAGCGCGCGCAGGCGGUUCCUUAAGUCUGAUGUGAAAGCCCACGGCUCAACCGUGGAGGGUCAUUGGAAACUGGGGAACUUGAGUGCAGAAGAGGAGAGCGGAAUUCCACGUGUAGCGGUGAAAUGCGUAGAGAUGUGGAGGAA